AACCCUGGUAGUCCACGCUGUAAACGAUGUCGACUUGGAGGUUGUUCCCUUGAGGAGUGGCUUCCGGAGCUAACGCGUUAAGUCGACCGCCUGGGGAGUACGGCCGCAAGGUUAAAACUCAAAUGAAUUGACGGGGGCCCGCACAAGCGGUGGAGCAUGUGGUUUAAUUCGAUGCAACGCGAAGAACCUUACCUACUCUUGACAUCCAGAGAACUUAGCAGAGAUGCUUUGGUGCCUUCGGGAACUCUGAGACAGGUGCUGCAUGGCUGUCGUCAGCUCGUGUUGUGAAAUGUUGGGUUAAGUCCCGCAACGAGCGCAACCCUUAUCCUUUGUUGCCAGCGAUUCGGCCGGGAACUCAAAGGAGACUGCCAGUGAUAAACUGGAGGAAGGUGGGGAUGACGUCAAGUCAUCAUGGCCCUUACGAGUAGGGCUACACACGUGCUACAAUGGCAUAUACAAAGAGAAGCGACCUCGCGAGAGCAAGCGGACCUCAUAAAGUAUGUCGUAGUCCGGAUUGGAGUCUGCAACUCGACUCCAUGAAGUCGGAAUCGCUAGUAAUCGUAGAUCAGAAUGCUACGGUGAAUACGUUCCCGGGCCUUGUACACACCGCCCGUCACACCAUGGGAGUGGGUUGCAAAAGAAGUAGGUAGCUUAAC
rnacentral:rRNA from 1 species